rnacentral:lncRNA from 1 species
UGUUCAAGCUGAGCUUGUGAAUGGAAGAUGGGCCAUGUUGGGUGUUGCAGGAAUGUUGCUUCCUGAGGUUUUCACCAAACUUGGAAUCAUCAAUGCCCCUCAAUGGUAUGAUGCAGGGAAAGCGGAGUACUUUGCAUCAUCCUCCACCCUCUUUGUGAUUGAGUUCAUCCUGUUCCAUUAUGUGGAGAUCAGAAGAUGGCAGGACAUUAAGAACCCUGGCAGUGUCAACCAAGACCCCAUCUUCAAGCAAUACAGCUUACCCCAACAUGAAUGUGGAUACCCUGGUAGUGUAUUCAACCCCUUGAACUUUGCACCAACUUUGGAGGCCAAGGAGAAGGAACUUGCCAAUGGUACAUGCUUUAUUAUCUCUUCCUAAACAGUUCAUUAAUCUAUGAGUUCAAAAUACUAUGUUGGUACCAUGUUUAAUCAUAUAUGCUGUUUCUGAGUGCGGUUUGGUUUGCCAUUUGGAAUCUGAUGUAUAAUAAUUUUAACUGGAUGUGGAUCAUGGAGUCUUGUUUAACAUAAUCCUAAAUCAAACCAAAUAAGCACAUAACUGAGGUUUCUAUUUGUAGAACUGUUGAGCUAACCUUGUUUUGGUUAUAAUUUGUGUAGGGAGAUUGGCUAUGUUGGCAUUCUUGGGAUUCAUAAUUCAACACAACGUGACAGGGAAAGGACCAUUUGACAACCUCUUGCAGCACCUCUCUGACCCAUGGCACAACACCAUCAUCAAUACAAUCCGUGGCUACUAAGUUUGUAUCCAAUGACACAUGAUGAUAAGCCUGUGUCCUUCUCGUGUAAUCCUCAAUGGGUGAAUUUUGAGACAGAUUUGGGCAUGAUUGUAAUGAUCCAUCUAUUUUCAUGUACAGAGGAACUCAGAUGGUUUUAUAUUGUGGUUUAGAUUCAACUCAGUUAAUCACAAAUCAAGCAUCAUAUUUAAAAAAAAAAAAUCAAAAUUCGAAUACAGUAUUUCUGAAGUAUGUAAAAUUGAAUUCCAGUUUUAACAAAAUUUAAAUUUAUAAGUUGGAUCACUACAUGGAAUUUCAGAACACAUCUGGUGGCUAAAACUAAAUCUAAAUCCCAACACAAAAAAACAAAUAUAUUUUUGGGAAAUCAACUUUUGGCUUAUCAACACUUAACUAAGACUACCCUCAAAUUGCAUUUUAAUUUCUUCCUUUUAUAGAGGCAAUUGAUUAAUCGUGAUAGGCUACCGUAUUCUUGUCACUUAAUGUUUUCAUAUUCCUGUCUAAUCUGAAAUAUAAUUUAAACGAGAAAGGAU